AGGUUACUAUAGCAACUAUCAGCAGCAACCUAACCAUUCAUACUCCUAGCCCGUAGGAGCAUAUCAAAAUACAGGUGCUCCUUAUCAGCCAAUUUCUUCGUUUUUGAAUUCAAGGUCUUAUCCUUGUCCUGCAAGUUAUUCAGGCACUUACUACCAUCUUGGUGAUUAUCAAAAAGCUAGAAGUUAUCCAAGUAGCGGUUACAAUAAUCAGACAAACUCGUGGAAUGAAGACAGUAAUGAAAAUUAUAAUUCUCAUCAAUACUCAAACUACCCUACAGAGGCGUUGGCACAGUAAUGAAAAUUAAAAUUCUCAUCAAUACUCAAACUACCCUACAGAGGUUGAAGCUGUUGUGCACGUCUGAAGAUGGCGAAUGUUGUGGCAAACCAAGUGGGUGGUUCUUUUGGUGAUGCAAAUGAUGCCGAGAAAAAUGUGUUUGAUUUAGGUGCAUUUGUGUGGGACUUGACUUUUGAGGAAGAUGCAAGUGGGUAAGUUAAGAAUUGUGGAAGCUUUCUUUAUAAUUUAUGUAGAACUUCGUUCAUUGAUUUGUUUAAGGUGUGGUCUGUGUUUCAGAGAAUUUGACUAUUCUCAAGUUUUCUUGAAUGUUUGUGUAAAAUUAGUUGGUAAAGUAACUUAAAAUAAAGAAAUAAAUGGUGGGUGAUUGUAAGUUCUCUGGGUGAGUCGAUUGAGGUGCUAAAAUCUUGGAAAUAGCUGGAAACUUGAGAGGGUCACCUUUGGAAGCCUUUGUUGGUGACCAAAAGGGUCACUCUCUUUCCAUCAUGUAGUGAUGCUGACUGAAUUUAAU